UCUAGUAACAAUAGCGAGAAGGCUACACCUGUUCCCAUCCCGAACACAGAAGUUAAGUUUCUCAGCGCUGAUGAUACUUGGGGGGCAACCCCCUGGGAAAGUAAGACGUUGCUAGUU
rnacentral:rRNA from 1 species